AUGGUACGGUGUAAUCCUUUGGUAGGCAGCAUAUAUAGUAUAUGUAAACCUUUUCCUUGUGGGAUUUACUUUUAAAUUCACAGGGUCGUUUGCCCUUGGAGAGCUGGUGUUUGAUUGAACAUCCUUUUUGGCGUUUCAUAAAUUCGCUUCUAACUAGAGGCAAUUACAAGCGCAUAACUAUUCAGUGCCAAUCGUCCGAGGUCGUCUCUCUCUAUUCAGAUCCCCAAUUUGCAAAUCUAUUUCAUCAAUUUCAAAAACUCCCAAAUUUAUCCAAAAAUUCCAAAGGAAAUGGCGCUGAGUAAGUUCUACAGCGAGAUAAAGGAGUUGAAAGUGAAGGAAGUGCCCAACUAGGUAAAGCCGAUGCUAUCAAUCGAUUACGUGAAGAAAUAGGUGCAGAAAGCUUUGGACAGUUACCACGCCAAUUACAUGAAGACCAGCUCCAUUGAUCCUCUCUACCAUGAUGGCGGCAUGAUCUUUUCCAACCUUGUUGCUCUUCCGGAGGAGCACUGCCACUUCGAGCACCAGCAACACUAAGGAGCAUGGCCACUGAUUCGUUGACUUAUCAAUUCAUCAUCUGCAGGAAGAUACUAUUGAUAGUUUUUCUCUUUUACACUCUGCAUCUCAUUGCUUCAGGAAAUUUGAAUCAUAUACAGCAGAACAAAAUGAUUCUUGGAGCUUGGGUGCAUCAGGAGUUAGAACAGCAGAUGCCCUCAUCUGAUAUUCCAUCCAAAAUUCUUUGUCAAGUGAUCAAAAUUGAUCUUCAGGUAGGUUUUGGCUCAUCUGUUAUAUUCUUGUGGACUUUAGGCUGAACCUGAAACAGACCAAGUAUGUGCAUAUAUAUCAAUACUUCCUGGGCCUGAUGUAAGCUAGUCUGUCUGUCUUACUUUUGCAAUUGAAGCAUCCAUGAGCAUUUUCAUUAUGGUUCUUUUUAUAUUUUUGCCCCGCAUUUUUCUUGUUAUUUCCCCCUAUAUGAAUCAGCAAAGAGAGUUUACUGGCAGCAAUCCUGAACUCCUGAAACCUGCAGAAAGAUGCACGGUGAAUUCAUUUUAGAAAACACUUGCUGCUUCGGAUGUAAGCAAGCAUUGUACUUCAAAUAUUUAUCAAAAGCAUGCAUAGGAAUGUCUACCAGCAUUGGAUAUGCAGCAACAGACACCUUGUCAACAAUUGAUUGCAAAAGAUCUGCACGGCAACGAGUGGAAUUUCCAACAUGUUAAUCAGAGUAAGCAAUAGUUACAUUGCUAUUUCGUGACGCGAUGCUGAAUAAUUGUCUAGAGAUGGCAAUUAAUUAGCUACAUUGGCUGAAAUAUGCUUUCUAUUAUUUUGUAUGUGCUUUCUAUUAUUUUGUUCUACUGUAUACGAUUGUUAAUUGAGAAUUUAUGGAAAUCGUGACAUUUUUGUUUUUUUUGUUAUAUCUAUGCAUUUAGAAUGGAGAAAGAGAAUCCAUAUAGCCGACCCCAAAUUUUUGGGAUAAAUGCUUAGUUGAGUUUAGUUGAGUUGAGUUAUAUCUAUGCAUUUGCAUAUGUUUAGACUUGCAACUAAAAGCUAUACAUGUUUCUGUUCUAUAGGGUGUAAACAUCAACUUGAACACCCAGUUGCAGAAAGUCAGAAGAAGGAAAGAACAAUUUUAGUAAUAUUUUUAGAGGUUAAUUAGUUCCCUUUUUUUUUUCCUUGUAUUACAAAGACUCCAAAUUUUCUUUCCUAUUCAAGAAUUGUUAUUUAUGAGUUGUACUUAGAAAUGAUGAAUAUUAUUACAUAAUAAAUUUAAUUUUUUGAGUUGUA